rnacentral:rRNA from 1 species
UGAUCCAGCCAUGCCGCGUGGGUGAAGAAGGCCUUAGGGUUGUAAAGCUCUUUCAGUCGUGACGAUGAUGACGGUAGCGACAGAAGAAGCCCCGGCUAACUCCGUGCCAGCAGCCGCGGUAAUACGGAGGGGGCAAGCGUUGUUCGGAUUUACUGGGCGUAAAGGGCGCGUAGGCGGGGUAUCAAGUUAGGGGUGAAAGCCCGGGGCUCAACCUCGGAACUGCCUUUAAAACUGAUACUCUAGAGUCCGGAAGAGGGUCGCGGAAUUCCCAGUGUAGAGGUGAAACUCGUAGAUAUUGGGAAGAACACCGGUGGCGAAGGCGGCGACCUGGUCCGGUACUGACGCUGAGGCGCGAAAGCGUGGGAGCAAACAGGAUUAGAUACCCUGGUAGUCCACGCCGUAAACGAUGUGUGCUAGCCGUCGGGCUCCUUAGGAGUUCGGUGGCGCAGCUAACGCGUUAAGCACACCGC